GGGUUGUGAGGUUAAGCGACUAAGCGUACACGGUGGAUGCCCUGGCAGUCAGAGGCGAUGAAGGACGUGCUAAUCUGCGAUAAGCGUCGGUAAGGUGAUAUGAACCGUUAUAACCGGCGAUUUCCGAAUGGGGAAACCCAGUGUGUUUCGACACACUAUCAUUAACUGAAUCCAUAGGUUAAUGAGGCGAACCGGGGGAACUGAAACAUCUAAGUACCCCGAGGAAAAGAAAUCAACCGAGAUUCCCCCAGUAGCGGCGAGCGAACGGGGAGGAGCCCAGAGCCUGAAUCAGUGUGUGUGUUAGUGGAAGCGUCUGGAAAGGCGCGCGAUACAGGGUGACAGCCCCGUACACAAAAAUGCACAUGCUGUGAGCUCGAUGAGUAGGGCGGGACACGUGGUAUCCUGUCUGAAUAUGGGGGGACCAUCCUCCAAGGCUAAAUACUCCUGACUGACCGAUAGUGAACCAGUACCGUGAGGGAAAGGCGAAAAGAACCCCGGCGAGGGGAGUGAAAAAGAACCUGAAACCGUGUACGUACAAGCAGUGGGAGCAUGCUUAGGCGUGUGACUGCGUACCUUUUGUAUAAUGGGUCAGCGACUUAUAUUCUGUAGCAAGGUUAACCGAAUAGGGGAGCCGAAGGGAAACCGAGUCUUAACUGGGCGUUAAGUUGCAGGGUAUAGACCCGAAACCCGGUGAUCUAGCCAUGGGCAGGUUGAAAGUUGGGUAACACUAACUGGAGGACCGAACCGACUAAUGUUGAAAAAUUAGCGGAUGACUUGUGGCUGGGGGUGAAAGGCCAAUCAAACCGGGAGAUAGCUGGUUCUCCCCGAAAGCUAUUUAGGUAGCGCCUCGUGAACUCAUCUCCGGGGGUAGAGCACUGUUUCGGCAAGGGGGUCAUCCCGACUUACCAACCCGAUGCAAACUGCGAAUACCGGAGAAUGUUAUCACGGGAGACACACGGCGGGUGCUAACGUCCGUCGUGAAGAGGGAAACAACCCAGACCGCCAGCUAAGGUCCCAAAGUCAUGGUUAAGUGGGAAACGAUGUGGGAAGGCCCAGACAGCCAGGAUGUUGGCUUAGAAGCAGCCAUCAUUUAAAGAAAGCGUAAUAGCUCACUGGUCGAGUCGGCCUGCGCGGAAGAUGUAACGGGGCUAAACCAUGCACCGAAGCUGCGGCAGCGACGCUUAUGCGUUGUUGGGUAGGGGAGCGUUCUGUAAGCCUGUGAAGGUGU
rnacentral:rRNA from 1 species